rnacentral:misc_RNA from 1 species
UUGGUUCUACCCGAAGGCGAUGCGCUAACCCGUAAGGGAGGCAGUCGACCACGGUAGGGUCAGCGACUGGGGUGAAGUCGUAACAAGGUAGCCGUAGGGGAACCUGCGGCUGGAUCACCUCCUUUCUAAGGAUACGUCUCCAGCAAAGCUCUCACGAGGUUUGUUAUUGAUGUUCCAAUAAAAUGCGGUUCGCCGCCGUCUUCGUUUCUCUUUCCUAUUUCAUGCCUUACGGCGCCGGACACUGGUCUGGCUUGUGAGGCAUGCGAUCGCGAGCCUGGUCUUUGUUGACCGGCUGUCGUGCGGCCAUAGGCCCGUAGCUCAGCCUGGUUAGAGCGCACGCCUGAUAAGCGUGAGGUCGGCAGUUCGAGUCUGCCCGGGCCUACCAGCCCCCACCAGACUAGUUCUGCUGGACUGAAAGCAGCAUGACCCGCACCGACAAGCUCUCCUGAGCCUCGCACUGUUCCUUGGAAUGGGGCCGUAGCUCAGUUGGUAGAGCGCCUGCUUUGCAAGCAGGAUGUCGUCGGUUCGACUCCGUCCGGCUCCACCAGGCCGCCCCGCGGCCCUGGAAUAGACCUGAGGCUCCCGUUGGACGCCUCGGUUGUUUCCCUGGGAACUCGUAGAUCGCAUCCAAGAGAUUGCCUCAGCUGCCUUGCCAG